rnacentral:rRNA from 1 species
GACGAACGCUGGCGGCGUGCCUAAUACAUGCAAGUCGAACGCAGUUGCGAACGGGUGAGUAACGCGUAGGUAACUGCCUCAUAGCGGGGGAUAACUAUUGGAAACGAUAGCUAAUACCGCAUACUGUGAGAUGGACCUGCGUUGUAUUAGCUAGUUGGUGAGGUAAAGGCUCACCAAGGCGACGAUACAUAGCCGACCUGGGAGGGGGGUUGGCCACAAUGGGACGUGGACAACGCCCAGGCUCCCACGGGGGGCAGCCGGUGGGAAUCUUCGGGAAAUGGCGGGAGUGUUAACGAGCAACGGCGCGUUGGUGAAGGAGGUUUUUGGAACGUAAAACUCUGUUGGUAGGGAAACGGUAUCUAACCAGAAAGCCACGGCUAACUACGUGCCAGCAGCCGCGGUAAUAC